UGAGUGGUAGGGGAGCGUUCUGUAAGUCUGCGAAGGUGUAUCGAGAGGUAUGCUGGAGAUAUCAGAAGUGCGAAUGCUGACGUAAGUAACGAUAAAGGGGGUGAAAAGCCUCCUCGCCGGAAGACCAAGGGUUCCUGUCCAACGUUAAUCGGGGCAGGGUGAGUCGACCCCUAAGGCGAGGCCGAAAGGCGUAGUCGAUGGGAAGCAGGUUAAUAUUCCUGCACGACUUGUAAUUGCGAUGGGGGGACGGAGAAGGCUAGGUGGGCCAGGCGACGGUUGUCCUGGUGAAAGUGCGUAGGUGGUGUUUGUAGGCAAAUCCGCAGACACAACGCUGAGACACGAGACGAACACACUACGGUGUGGAAGCCAUUGAUGCCCUGCUUCCAGGAAAAGCCUCUAAGCUUCAGAUUACAAGUCAUCGUACCCCAAACCGACACAGGUGGUCGGGUAGAGAAUACCAAGGCGCUUGAGAGAACUCGGGUGAAGGAACUAGGCAAAAUAGAACCGUAACUUCGGGAGAAGGUUCGCUCUUGACAGUGAAGUCCCUUGCGGAUGGAGCAGUUGGGAGUCGCAGUGACCAGAUGGCUGGGACUGUUUAUCAAAAACACAGCACUCUGCAAACACGAAAGUGGACGUAUAGGGUGUGACACCUGCCCGGUGCCGGAAGGUUAAUUGAUGGGGUUAGCGCAAGCGAAGCUCUUGAUCGAAGCCCCGGUAAACGGCGGCCGUAACUAUAACGGUCCUAAGGUAGCGAAAUUCCUUGUCGGGUAAGUUCCGACCUGCACGAAUGGUGUAACCAUGGCCAUGCUGUCUCCACCCGAGACUCAGUGAAAUCGAAUUCGCCGUGAAGAUGCGGUGUACCCGCGGCUAGACGGAAAGACCCCGUGAACCUUUACUACAGCUUGGCACUGAACAUUGAACCUACAUGUGUAGGAUAGGUGGGAGGCUUUGAAGGCGUGACGCCAGUUGCGCUGGAGCCGUCCUUGAAAUACCACCCUUGUAUGUUUGAUGUUCUAACGCAGGGCCCUGAAUCGGGCUCGCGGACAGUGCCUGGUGGGUAGUUUGACUGGGGCGGUCUCCUCCCAAAGAGUAACGGAGGAGCACGAAGGUUGGCUAAUCCUGGUCGGACAUCAGGAGGUUAGUGCAAUGGCAUAAGCCAGCUUAACUGCGAGACGGACAGGUCGAGCAGGUACGAAAGUAGGUCAUAGUGAUCCGGUGGUUCUGAAUGGAAGGGCCAUCGCUCAACGGAUAAAAGGUACUCCGGGGAUAACAGGCUGAUACCGCCCAAGAGUUCAUAUCGACGGCGGUGUUUGGCACCUCGAUGUCGGCUCAUCACAUCCUGGGGCUGAAGUCGGUCCCAAGGGUAUGGCUGUUCGCCAUUUAAAGUGGUACGCGAGCUGGGUUCAGAACGUCGUGAGACAGUUCGGUCCCUAUCUGCCGUGGGCGUUGGAUGAUUGAAGGGAGUUGCUCCUAGUACGAGAGGACCGGAGUGAACGAACCUCUGGUGUUCGGGUUGUCACGCCAGUGGCACUGCCCGGUAGCUAAGUUCGGAAUCGAUAACCGCUGAAAGCAUCUAAGCGGGAAGCGAGCCCUGAGAUGAGUCAUCCCUGACCCCUUGAGGGUCCUAAAGGGCCGUUGGAGACCACAACGUUGAUAGGUGGGGUGUGUAAGCGCGGUGACGUGUUGAGCUAACCCAUACUAAUUACCCGUGAGGCUUAACCAUACAACACCCAAGAAGUGUUCU
rnacentral:rRNA from 1 species